rnacentral:rRNA from 1 species
AAUGAACGCUAGCGGCAGGCUUAAUACAUGCAAGUCGAGGGACAGCACAGGUAGCAAUACUGGGUGGUAACCGGCAAACGGGUGCGGAAAACGUACACAACCUUCCUUUAAGUGGGGGAUAGCCCAGAGAAAUUUGGAUUAAUACCCCGUAAUAUAGUUGAAUGGCAUAAUUUGAUUAUUAUAGCUACGGCGCGUAAUGAUGGAUGUGCGGCUGAUUAGAUAGUUGGCGGGGUAACGGCCCACCAAGUCUACGAUCAGUAGCUGAUGUGGGAGCAUGAUCAGCCACACGGGCACUGAGACACGGGCCCGACUCCUACGGGAGGCAGCAGUAAGGAAUAUUGGUCAAUGGACGCAAGUCUGAACCAGCCAUGCCGCGUGAAGGAUUAAGGUCCUCUGGAUUGUAAACUUCUUUUAUUUGGGACGAAAAAGGGCCUUUCUAGGUCAACUGACGGUACCAGAUGAAUAAGCACCGGCUAACUCCGUGCCAGCAGCCGCAGUAACAC